CAACACUGCCAGCCGAACGAGAAAACUUGGGCAGCUAUCAGCAUUACAAUGUCGACCAUGAAGUUCAGGUUCAUCUUAAUGCUUGCAUUAACAGCCAUGGUGGUGAGAGUCUCAAGUGCACGUAAGGGACCCCGUGGCCUAUUUGGAAAUCUUUAUUGUGACAGACGGCCUUGCAAAGAAGGAGACAAUGCCCGAUGCGACUAUCCUACAUGCGAAUGUGUGCGGAGAGGUGGUGGCUACUACUGCAGCUCUUUAAUUUGGUACUAAUGUCCUUAAUAAAAUCUAGCACA